UACAGAGGUCUCAAGCGUUGUUCGGAUUCAUUGGGCGUAAAGGGCGCGUAGGCGGCGAGGUAAGUCGGGUGUGAAAUCUCAGAGCUCAACUCUGAAACUGCACUCGAUACUGCUUUGCUAGAGGACUGGAGAGGAGAUUGGAAUUCACGGUGUAGCAGUGAAAUGCGUAGAGAUCAUGAGGAAGACCAGUGGCGAAGGCGGGUCUCUGGACAGUUCCUGACACUGAGGCACGAAGGCCAGGGGAGCAAACGGG
rnacentral:rRNA from 1 species